GGGAGUGGAUGUGGCCUGGUGGCCGCCGCGGUCUUCAAAACCGUUGAGGGGCCGCGCGAGCGGUCCUUGGUGGGUUCGAUCCCCAUGCACUCCC
rnacentral:tRNA from 1 species